rnacentral:misc_RNA from 1 species
UCGUACAAACAUGUGUGAGGCGUGCGAGGGCUGUCGCUGACUUUUUGAGACACAAAAGUCGUGCACGCCGGAGUGCGUCCUCUCACAUAAAAUCCAUCUCACCCUUUUGUGCACCACCGCGUGGGCACCCUUUGGGAUCGAAUCGAUCCAGGAGGGGGCUUGCGUUUUCACACACACCCCUUUUAAAAAGUGUAGAAUGACCCCACUUUGCUAUACGCAAUCAAUACAACUUUCAACAACGGAUCUCUUGGCUCUCGCAUCGAUGAAGAACGCAGCGAAAUGCGAUACGUAAUGUGAAUUGCAGAAUUCAGUGAAUCAUCGAAUCUUUGAACGCACCUUGCGCCCCUUGGUAUUCCGAGGGGCACACCCGUUUGAGUGUCGUGAAAAUCUCAACCUUCUCGGUUUUCUUCUGGACACCGAAGGAGGCUUGGACUUUGGAGGCCUUUGCUGGCAUCUCUCUCUUCUUGAGAGCCAGCUCCUCUUAAAUGAAUUAGCGGGGUCCUCUUUGCCGAUCCUCGACAUGUGAUAAGAUGUUUCCAUGACUUGGUUUCUGGCUCUGUUGCCUUUGGGACCCGCUUCUAACCGUCUCGACGAGACGACGUUUGGGCGCGUCUCCCUUCUCGGGAGACACUCUCAACCCCACGAACC